AAUAGAUACCCCGGGUAGUCCACGCCGUAAACGAUGGAUACUAGCUGUUGGGGGCAACUUCAGUGGCUAAGCGAAAGUGAUAAGUAUCCCACCUGGGGAGUACGAACGCAAGUUUGAAACUCAAAGGAAUUGAACGGGGGCCCGCACAAGCGGUGGAGCAUGUGGUUUAAUUCGAUGAUACGCGAGGAACCUUACCAAGGCUUAAAUGCAGACUGACCGAUUUGGAAACAGAUCUUUCGCAAGACAGUUUACAAGGUGCUGCAUGGUUGUCGUCAGCUCGUGCCGUGAGGUGUCAGGUUAAGUCCUAUAACGAGCGCAACCCCUGUUGUUAGUUGCCAGCGAGUCAUGUCGGGAACUCUAACAAGACUGCCAGUGCAAACUGUGAGGAAGGUGGGGAUGACGUCAAAUCAUCACGGCCCUUACGCCUUGGGCUACACACGUGCUACAAUGGCCGGUACAGAGAGCAGCCACCUCGCGAGGGGGGAGCGAAUCUAUAAAGCCGGUCACAGUUCGGAUCGGAGUCUGCAACUCGA
rnacentral:rRNA from 1 species